CAAAAUAUAUCACCGCAAGCAAGAAACAUUCGCAUAUUUUCCCACGUUAUAUGUGUUUUAGUAUUCCUCAGAGUUUUGCAGCCUGCUGAAUAAAUAAGUAACAGAUAUGCUGUCAAUUUCUAUUAUUUGUGAGUGUACUUUUGCGCAUCAUAAUUUGAUAUUGUUUGGACUAACUGACUUGUUGUAAAUAAAUGUCUCCUUGAACUCCCAAGCAUCACAAACGGUUUGUUAUUAUACCAAAACACUAAGUCGGGAUAAGCACUAAUUUCUGGUCCUUUCAAAUGUUGCAAUUGUCAACGAUCCCAUUCAAUGAUUAUGUAUCAAGGCAAAUAUGUCUCUUUAUUUUCUUCUUAUUCUACUGGCAAGUCUUUCGAUACUCCUAAAAAGCCAGAAAAAAAUACAAAAGACUUACAAAAUUUACCAGGAGCAGAACAAUUUGCCAUUAUUUUAUUAACAUGAUUCGAUAGCAUCUUUCAUUUCUCUAUUUGUAGAAGGAAAACAGUUUUAGAGCCUCACAUUUUCUAUACAUUAGAAAGUCUUGCAAAAGAGUUACAAAUAAAAAACAAUAACAAGCAAACAAACAAAAAACACCCAAAGAUAACAAAGGUUAUUAGACAGUACAACCAACCACUCCAACCUCCAACAACACUCUCAUCCAACAAAACAGACAUACACACAAAAACAAACAACAACGAACAACACAUGGUCCGGAUAGCUAGACUUAUUAAUGGCACAAAACGUGGUGAAGUGAAACUUAUAUUUCAUGUCCACAAAUCUCCCAUUUCAUUUGUCCAUUUCAACC
rnacentral:lncRNA from 1 species